CUCUAUAAUAUAAACUUGUCAUUUUGUUGAGAAGACAGAAUUCAAUUAUUCACUAUUGCUGCAAGAUGUGUCCUUAAUGUUUGAUUAAAAUUUACAAAUUAUAACGUAUGCUUUUAAAUUCAUUUAUUAUUUUAAAUUACUAAAAUAAAUAAUAAUGAUUUUUUAUAAAAAAUACACGGCCGUUACUUCCGUUGGGAACAGUUUUUUAUCCCGCCCAAUGUUAUCUCUAUGUGUCAGAGACUGAUUGGUUACAAAGAUAUGCUUCAUCUACAUCUGAAUCCUCCUAUCAUGCCUCUAAUGGUUUUUUUUUUUUGCUAAAAUAUCAUGCCUCUAAUGUUGUUAAGAAUUAGUUUUUUUUUUUUUAAAUGAUGUAUCUGACUAAGGAUGAAGUUGUGAAACUAUCACCGCAUGCACGGGCAUCAGAGAUGUGGAAGAUGAGGAACUAAGAUGCUUUUUCUUCGGAAUGUCACCUUGACAUCUUUCUUUUGUGAUUGCUUUGUACACAGCUUGGUACGAGAAGAGACAGAUGAAAAAUAUGUACUCUCCCCUCCUAGAAGGACUAUUGGCCCUCAGUAUUGAAUAGGUUCAGGUAUAUACUCACGAUCACCGAAGAAUGUUACGUCGGAGAACCGAACGGAUUAGAUCGAAGACCACUGAUGAACAGUUUUAAUCAUCUCUAGAUUAUUAAUUGAUGGGGAUAGUUUUGUGUGUAUUUCUUUGGUAUGGGGUCGUAUAGUAAUUAAAGAAAUUAGGUAAGACCACUUCCUUAAAAAUUAGACAGCUGCCACAUUAUACAGUAGAGAUCUUACAUAUACAUAAGCCUGUAAUUUGUUCCUCACGUAGUCCUAGUGAAGUUUAAUUAAGAUCAAUAAAAAAAUUUCCGAUAAACCUUAUCGGAUCCGGUCGGUUCUGAGAGGAAAUGUAAUUAGUGAUACAAAGUGGACUAUUCCGAAAGCGUACCACACUGCAUAAUCUGAAUUUGAAAUAUC